rnacentral:rRNA from 1 species
GAUGAACGCUGGCGGCGUGCCUCAAACAUGCAAGUCGAGCGAGGCUAUGAAUUACCGCAAGGUAAGGCAUAGCCUAGCGGCGAACGGGUGAGUAACACGUGGGUAACCUACCCGGAAGACAGGGAUAACGAUUCGAAAGGGUCGCUAAUACCUGAUAAUAUCCAUCUGCCGGAUGGCGGAGGGAAGAAAGGGGAAACCCGCUUUCAGAUGGGCCCGCGUCCCAUCAGCUAGUUGGUAAGGUAAAGGCUUACCAAGGCGACGACGGGUAGCCGGUCUGAGAGGAUGUACGGCCACACUGGGACUGAGAUACGGCCCAGACUCCUACGGGAGGCAGCAGUUGGGAAUCUUAGGCAAUGGACGAAAGUCUGACCUAGCGACGCCGCGUGAGGGAAGAAGGCCUUCGGGUUGUAAACCUCUGUCAUGGGGGAAGAAGGAAGUGACGGUACCCCAAGAGGAAGCCCCUGCUAACUACGUG